rnacentral:rRNA from 1 species
UACGUAGGGGGCAAGCGUUGUCCGGAUUUACUGGGCGUAAAGAGCGCGUAGGCGGACGCUUAAGUGUGGCCUGAAAGCCCCCGGCUCAACCGGGGAGGGUGGCUGCAAACUGGGCGUCUUGAGGGCGAUAGAGGAGAGCGGAAUUCCUGGUGUAGCGGUGAAAUGCGUAGAUAUCCGGAGGAACAUCAGUGGCGAAGGCGGCUUCCUGGCCUAAGACUGACGCUGAGGUGCGAAAGCGUGGGGAGCAAACAGG